rfam:Triticum urartu cultivar G1812 contig1454946, whole genome shotgun sequence.
CAUGUACUUCCUCCGUUCGGAAUUACUUGUCUCGGAAAUGGAUGUAUCUAGUAUUAAAAUACGUCUAGAUACAUCCAUUUCUGCGACAAGUAAUACCGAAUUGAGGGAGUAUAUU